UCGGUGGGGGAUUAGUGGCGAACGGGUGAGUAACACGUGGGCAAUCUGCCCUUCACUCUGGGACAAGCCCUGGAAACGGGGUCUAAUACCGGAUACGACCACUUCAGGCAUCUGAUGGUGGUGGAAAGCUCCGGCGGUGAAGGAUGAGCCCGCGGCCUAUCAGCUUGUUGGUGAGGUAAUGGCUCACCAAGGCGACGACGGGUAGCCGGCCUGAGAGGGCGACCGGCCACACUGGGACUGAGACACGGCCCAGACUCCUACGGGAGGCAGCAGUGGGGAAUAUUGCACAAUGGGCGAAAGCCUGAUGCAGCGACGCCGCGUGAGGGAUGACGGCCUUCGGGUUGUAAACCUCUUUCAGCAGGGAAGAAGCGAAAGUGACGGUACCUGCAGAAGAAGCGCCGGCUAACUACGUGCCAGCAGCCGCGGUAAUACGUAGGGCGCAAGGCUUGUCCGGAAUUAUUGGGCGGAAAGAGCUCGUAGGCGGCUUGUCACGUCGGAUGUGAAAGCCCGGGGUUAACCCGGUCUUGCAUUCG
rnacentral:rRNA from 1 species